rnacentral:rRNA from 1 species
AUGCAAGCUCUUUGAGAUGUCUUGGAGGUAUGCGAGUUGGUUGACUUGGGUUUUAUUGGCAUCCCGCACACAUAUGAUAAUAUGAGGGCCGGUAGUGCCAAUGUUAAAGUUCGGCUGGACAGGGCAGUUGCAAAUCAUGCUUGGAGAAAUAUGUUUGAUAACACUUCUGUCAAGCACCUCAUAUCCCCAUGUUCAGAUCAUGUCCCAAUUCAUAUUUGUUGUGACGUACAUAAUGACCAGCCUACUAAAUCACGUAUAAGGAGGUACGAGGUUAUGUGGGAAAGAGAACCGGCUUUGCAAGAAGUAAUAGCGAAAGCAUGGGCUGAUGCUGGCACGAAAAACUCGCUUGGUGAUGUACAUGCAGCUCUCAGAGGUACUAUGCGCAGGCUGUGCGAGUGGAGUAAGUCAAAAUUUGGUAGUGUCACACGCGAGAUAGAAAAAUCUCGAACUCAGCUGGAGCAGCUCAUGUUAAUGAAUGCAGAUAGAAUGGAAAUACGAAGUGUGAUGGACAGAAUGAAUGAGCUUUUAUAUCGAGAAGAGCUCAUGUGGAUGCAACACUCUCGUAUUGCCUGGUUGAAAGAUGGCGAUAGAAACACGAAGUUUUUUCAUGCAAAAUCAGUGUAG